GACGAACGCUGGCGGCGUGCUUAACACAUGCAAGUCGAACGGAAAGGCCCUGCUUUUGUGGGGUGCUCGAGUGGCGAACGGGUGAGUAACACGUGAGUAACCUGCCCUUGACUUUGGGAUAACUUCAGGAAACUGGGGCUAAUACCGGAUAGGAGCUCCUGCUGCAUGGUGGGGGUUGGAAAGUUUCGGCGGUUGGGGAUGGACUCGCGGCUUAUCAGCUUGUUGGUGGGGUAGUGGCUUACCAAGGCUUUGACGGGUAGCCGGCCUGAGAGGGUGACCGGCCACAUUGGGACUGAGAUACGGCCCAGACUCCUACGGGAGGCAGCAGUGGGGAAUAUUGCCCAAUGGGAGGAAGCCUGAUGCAGCAACGCCGCGUGCGGGAUGACGGCCUUCGGGUUGUAAACCGCUUUCGCCUGUGACGAAGCGUGAGUGACGGUAAUGGGUAAAGAAGCACCGGCUAACUACGUG
rnacentral:rRNA from 1 species